UGCAAUGCCAGUAUACCAGGACAUGCAGAAAUAGUUGAACUACUACUGGAGCAUCCUGUGGCUAAUGUUGAUCACACUGAUAAGGAUGAUGAUACACCACUUAUUAUGGCUUGUAUAGGAGGACAUAAAGAAGUAGUUGAGCUACUAAUAAAGUAUAAAGCUGAUGUCAAUCACACUAAUAAACAAGAACAUACACCACUUGUUUUAGCCUGUAUGGGAGGGCAUGCAGAAAUAAUUGAACUACUAAAGGAGAUUGGUAAAGUUGAUAUCAAUGUUACUGAUAAA